AACCCAUGGUAAGGGCACUUUCUUAAUAAGUCUUUAGACCUCUCCCAUGCAUCGUAAAGAGUUUCUAAAUCCAUCUGCACAAAAGAAAAGAUAUCAUUCCUCAACUU
rfam:Gossypium arboreum cultivar AKA8401 contig_62844_1, whole genome shotgun sequence.